rnacentral:rRNA from 1 species
GGCCCGCACAAGCGGUGGAGUAUGUGGUUUAAUUCGACGCAACGCGCAGAACCUUACCCAGCCUUGACAUCUUCGGAAUCCCUGCGAAAUCAGGGAGUGCCUCCUUACGGAGGAAUCGAAUGACAGGUGCUGCAUGGCUGUCGUCAGCUCGUGUCGUGAGAUGUUCGGUUAAGUCCGGCAACGAGCGCAACCCCUAUCGUUAGUUGCUACCAGUUCGGCUGGGCACUCUAGCGAGACUCCCGGUGUCAAACCGGCGGAAGAUGGGGAUGACGUCAAGUCCUCAUGGCCCUUAUGGCUGGGGCUACACACGUACUACAAUGGUGACUACAGAGGGCAGCAAGACCGCAAGGUGGAGCCAAUCCCUAAAAGGUCGCCUCAGUUCGGAUUGGAGUCUGCAACUCGACUCCAUGAAGUUGGAAUCGCUAGUAAUCGCGGAU